rnacentral:rRNA from 1 species
UGGGGAAUAUUGGACAAUGGGGGGAACCCUGAUCCAGCCAUGCCGCGUGUGUGAAGAAGGCCUUAUGGUUGUAAAGCACUUUAAGCGAGGAGGAGGGUACUGGUAUUAAUACUACCAGGUACUGGAAGUUACUCGCAGAAUAAGCACCGGCUAACUCUGUGCCAGCAGCCGCGGUAAUACAGAGGGUGCGAGCGUUAAUCGGAUUUACUGGGCGUAAAGCGUGCGUAGGCGGCUAAUUGAGUCGGAUGUGAAAUCCCCGAGCUUAACUUGGGAAUUGCAUUCGAUACUGGUUAGCUAGAGUGUGGGAGAGGAUGGUAGAAUUCCAGGUGUAGCGGUGAAAUGCGUAGAGAUCUGGAGGAAUACCGAUGGCGAAGGCAGCCAUCUGGCCUAACACUGACGCUGAGGUACGAAAGCAUGGGGAGCAAACAGG